rnacentral:rRNA from 1 species
ACAUACGACCAUAGACUCAAGAGAACUGGGCAUCCCGUCCGCUCUGCCAUACAUAACCUUGAGAUCGGUGGAUUAGUAGUUGGGUGGGUGACCACNNNNAUAGAUCUACCUUCUUCUUCU